AUGGGUCGUCAAAUUCUAUAGAAGGCGCGAUCAUGCGAAGCAGAGGCGAGCGAUCCUCUUCCUUUCGUUCCACCACCGACGGUCAAGAGAUGUCAAGGGUGUCCCUUCCUCGGUCAUCAUCCACCUGUCACCAGCCGACGACGCCACCUCAACCAUCUAAACGCUAAUUCUGUCACGACUUUGUGCAAGGAAGAAGAAGCAUAGAAGGUGGAGGAAUUUGGUGGUUCCAGCCGAUUCCCUCUUCUUCAGGCCAGCGAUCAUCCUUCGCCGAAGCUCCGAUCAUGUCUAGGACUUGAGACUGUUUCCUGCUGUAUACUUCUUAUUUUGAUGUUGUUGAUUGAUUUUGCCAGAUCCAGAGCUCAUCUGAUUGGAUCAAUUCUUCGCCGAUUGCAAGAUUUGACAUCUUUGUCAAGAUCAACGAGUGCUUGGGGAUUCCUAGCUCACCUUGAUGUUGUUGAUGAUGCAAGUACUGAUGUUGAUGAUGAGGAGAGUAUAGGGGAUUGCAUAGUGGAAGCAAUACCCCAAGAAUCACUUUUUCCAGUUGUACAAUCACCUAAACUAAGUAUUGAUGAUAUAAGUGUAGGGGAUUGCACAUUGAGGCAAUACCCCAAGAACCACCUGAACCGGAGCGUAAACCACUACUUGAGGAUGAGGAGGUCACAGUCACCAUUCUAGAAUCUCCAUGUACGUUUCAACAUGACAAGGUUAGUGUUUCUUUUGAUUUUUUUAGAAAAUUUCUUAGAGGUAUAAUUAAUUGAUUUUAUUAGAUGUGAUUCAUUUCUUGAUACAUUUUCUACAAAAACUAAUAUUUUUUUGUCUUCUUCUUAUCCCACAUGCGUGUGGGAGGUGUUGUCUUUUGUUGAAUUUACAAGAGAUUAUAAGCUCCCGGAGUGGUUACUCCAAUUGAACCGCCUUCAACCUCCAAGGAGUAUUUUCAAGAGGAAUAUGGUGAAGGGAGAGGUCAUUACUUCAAAUGCAAUGAUUCCACUCCCAACUUGGAUUUUGUUUCUUAACCGACUCCAACCACCGGGAAGGACCAUUUCAAUGCCGGUGUGGAUGCUACUUCUAAAUUGUUUGCAACCAUCCGGAAUAAAGGGGAGUUCGUUCCUUGCUUUUGUUUUUUACUUUACACUUUCUUCUACUUUCAUACUUUACAUUUGUAUUUUGCUUAAUACUUUGCACUUUGUUUGGUCUACAUAACAUUUCAUUUGAAGAAAAUUCUCCAUGAAAUUGUUCUA